CCGGCUAACUACGUGCCAGCAGCCGCGGUAAUACGUAGGGUGCGAGCGUUAAUCGGAAUUACUGGGCGUAAAGCGUGCGCAGGCGGUUUUGUAAGACAGGCGUGAAAUCCCCGAGCUCAACUUGGGAAUGGCGCUUGUGACUGCAAGGCUAGAGUAUGUCAGAGGGGGGUAGAAUUCCACGUGUAGCAGUGAAAUGCGUAGAGAUGUGGAGGAAUACCGAUGGCGAAGGCAGCCCCCUGGGACGUCACUGACGCUCAUGCACGAAAGCGUGGGGAGCAAACAGGAUUAGAUACCCUGGUAGUCCACGCCCUAAACGAUGUCAACUAGUUGUUGGGGAUUCAUUUCUUCAGUAACGUAGCUAAC
rnacentral:rRNA from 1 species